AAAAUGUUAGAAAGGAGAGAAGUUUAAUGAUCCCCUAAACAAGGAUAAACACACAUUGCUUGCAAUACCACAAACAUUUUUAAAAAUAUGUACGGAUAAAUCGUUGCUUUCAGUUUAUUUU